rnacentral:rRNA from 1 species
AUUGAACGCUGGCGGCAGGCCUAACACAUGCAAGUCGAACGGUAGCACAGGGGAGCUUGCUCCCUGGGUGACGAGCGGCGGACGGGUGAGUAAUGUCUGGGAAACUGCCUGAUGGAGGGGGAUAACUACUGGAAACGGUAGCUAAUACCGCAUAACGUCGCAAGACCAAAGAGGGGGACCUUCGGGCCUCUUGCCAUCAGAUGUGCCCAGAUGGGAUUAGCUAGUAGGUGGGGUAAUGGCUCACCUAGGCGACGAUCCCUAGCUGGUCUGAGAGGAUGACCAGCCACACUGGAACUGAGACACGGUCCAGACUCCUACGGGAGGCAGCAGUGGGGAAUAUUGCACAAUGGGCGCCAGCCUGAUGCAGCCAUGCCGCGUGUGUGAAGAAGGCCUUCGGGUUGUAAAGCACUUUCAGCGAGGAGGAAGGUGGUGAACUUAAUACGUUCAUCAAUUGACGUUACUCGCAGAAGAAGCACCGGCUAACUCCGUGCCAGCAGCCGCGGUAAUACGGAGGGUGCAAGCGUUAAUCGGAAUUACUGGGCGUAAAGCGCACGCAGGCGGUUUGUUAAGUCAGAUGUGAAAUCCCCGGGCUCAACCUGGGAACUGCAUUUGAAACUGGCAAGCUAGAGUCUCGUAGAGGGGGGUAGAAUUCCAGGUGUAGCGGUGAAAUGCGUAGAGAUCUGGAGGAAUACCGGUGGCGAAGGCGGCCCCCUGGACGAAGACUGACGCUCAGGUGCGAAAGCGUGGGGAGCAAACAGGAUUAGA